GUCCCGGGUUCCGGGGGAAGUGUGUUACGGGGACACUGGCCCGACUACUUUCGUUCCGUCCUUCAUCGCUCUCUCCCGUGCAAUGGCGUCCGGGCUGGUAAGAGUGCUGCAGCAGGGGCCUCGCUGCCUCCUUGCUCCAGUCGUCCCCAAGCUGGUCCCUCCGGUUCGGGGAGUGAAGAAGGGAUUCCGCGCCGCCUUCCGCUUCCAGAAGGAGUUAGAGCGGCUGCGCCUUCUGCGGUGCCCGCCGCCGCCCGUGCGCCGUUCCGAGAAGCCGAACUGGGAUUACCAUGCAGAAAUACAAGCUUUUGGACAUCGGUUACAGGAACACUUUUCCUUAGAUCUUCUCAAAACUGCAUUUGUUAAUAGCUGCUAUAUUAAAAGUGAGGAGGCCAAGCGCCAACGACUUGGGAUAGAGAAAGAAACUGUACUUCUGAAUCUUAAAAGUAAUCAGGAACUAUCUGAACAAGGGACAUCUUUUUCACAGACUUGCCUCACACAGUUUCUUCAAGAUGAGUUCCCAGACUUGCCCACUGAAGGCAUCAGAAAUCUUGUUGACUUUCUCACUGGUGAGGAAGUCGUGUGUCACGUGGCUAGAAACUUGGCUGUGGAGCAGUUGACACUGAGUGAGGAAUUCCCAGUGCCCCCGACUGUAUUACAGCAAACUUUCUUUGCAGUUAUUGGAGCCCUGUUACAGAGCAGUGGACCCGAGAGGACUGCACUUUUUAUCAGGGACUUCUUAAUUACUCAAAUGACUGGAAAAGAGCUCUUUGAGAUGUGGAAGAUAAUAGAUCCCAUGGGGCUAUUGGUAGAAGAACUGAAGAAAAGGAAUAUUUCAGCCCCUGAAUCAAGACUUACAAGGCAGUCUGGUAGCACCACAGCUUUGCCUUUGUAUUUUGUUGGCUUAUACUGUGAUAAAAAGUUGAUUGCAGAAGGACCUGGGGAAACAGUAUUGGUUGCAGAAGAAGAGGCUGCUCGAGUGGCCCUUAGAAAACUUUAUGGAUUCACAGAGAAUAGACGGCCUUGGAACUAUUCCAAGCCCAAAGAAACCUUGAGAGCAGAGAAGAGCAUCACUGCCAGCUAGCCAGCCAUGAAUGUGGCAGCCUGAAACUUGAGACUGAAAGUGAGAUAAAUGUCAAAGAUCACUAUGUAUACGGGGAUUUUCUUCUGUUUCUGCCACCCUGAGACAGCAAGACCAUCCUCUUUUCCUCCUCCUCUUCAGCCUACUCAGCGUGAAGACAAAGAUGAAGAACUUUUUGAUCAUCCAUGUCCACUUAAUGAGUCGUAAAUAUAUUUUCUCUUCCUUUGAUUUCCUUUAUAUUUUUUAGCUUACUUUGUUGUAAGAAUAAAGUUUAUAAUACAUAUAA